UAAGGAAUAUUGGUCAAUGGGCGGAAGCCUGAACCAGCCAUGCCGCGUGCAGGAAGACGGCCCUACGGGUUGUAAACUGCUUUUGCAGGGGAAUAAACCCCCGAUCGUAAUCGGGGCUGAAUGUACCUUGAGAAUAAGGAUCGGCUAACUCCGUGCCAGCAGCCGCGGUAAUACGGAGGAUCCGAGCGUUAUCCGGAUUUAUUGGGUUUAAAGGGUGCGUAGGCGGCCUGGUAAGUCAGGGGUGAAAUACGGCAGCUUAACUGUCGCAGUGCCUUUGAUACUGCCGGGCUUGAAUGUACUUGAGGUAGGCGGAAUGUGACAAGUAGCGGUGAAAUGCAUAGAUAUGUCACAGAACACCAAUUGCGAAGGCAGCUUACUAAAGUAUGAUUGACGCUGAGGCACGAAAGCGUGGGGAUCAAACAGGAUUAGAUACCCCCGUAGUCC
rnacentral:rRNA from 1 species